UUCAAAUGUUAAUGGAAUAGAAAUAAAUUUAAACACAGACACUAGUGACACAGAAGUCUAAUUAAUUUUACUCUCUAAAUUUUACAAGGUUCCAUUGUAAGUAAGGGGUGAAACUGAGUUUAGAACUGUCAAUUUUAGAAAUUACGAUCAAAGAUGUCGCCACAAAGACUGAGGCAAACGCUUUGAACUGACAGCAAAUUUUAGUUAGGGUAGUCACUUUAGAUAAGCCAAAUGACGUCAAAAUCGUCAUCAGGAAAAGUUAACUCUUUCCUGGAUAGGAAGGUUUACUGAGGCGAGACUGCCCUCUAUGGAUCAAAUAUCUAAAUUGCGAUCUGCAGGUUGACCACACCUACAGUUUCCUAUUAUAUAUCAACUAAUGAUGUACAGAGAGUCUGGCCCUUUAAAAGUUAG